CUUUGGUAGUUUUUUUGCACUAACUUCAGGAACCAGCUCAUGAUCUCAGGAUGUAUGGAAAAAUAAUCUUUGUAUUACUAUUGUCAGAAAUUGUGAGCAUAUCAGCAUUAAGUACCACUGAGGUGGCAAUGCACACUUCAACCUCUUCUUCAGUCACAAAGAGUUACAUCUCAUCACAGACAAAUGGAGAAACGGGACAACUUGUCCAUCGUUUCACUGUACCAGGCAUGAGGAUGUGGCCUGCAUGCUGCCUGAUCUUGCCUAGAACCGGCUGCACCUGCUGUUCUCUUGUUUAUGCAAACUGGCUGCACCUGCUAUUCCUUUGCUUAUGCCCCUACCCCUGGCUAUCCUAAUUCCCUGUUCUCCUGCCUCACUAUUACUGUAUUCU
rnacentral:lncRNA from 1 species